rnacentral:rRNA from 1 species
GCAAGUGCGGCUGCUAUACAUGCAAGUCGAGCGGACAGAAGGGAGCUUGCUCCCGGAUGUUAGCGGCGGACGGGUGAGUAACACGUGGGUAACCUGCCUGUAAGACUGGGAUAACUCCGGGAAACCGGAGCUAAUACCGGAUAGUUCCUUGAACCGCAUGGUUCAAGGAUGAAAGACGGUUUCGGCUGUCACUUACAGAUGGACCCGCGGCGCAUUAGCUAGUUGGUGAGGUAACGGCUCACCAAGGCGACGAUGCGUAGCCGACCUGAGAGGGUGAUCGGCCACACUGGGACUGAGACACGGCCCAGACUCCUACGGGAGGCAGCAGUAGGGAAUCUUCCGCAAUGGACGAAAGUCUGACGGAGCAACGCCGCGUGAGUGAUGAAGGUUUUCGGAUCGUAAAGCUCUGUUGUUAGGGAAGAACAAGUGCAAGAGUAACUGCUUGCACCUUGACGGUACCUAACCAGAAAGCCACGGCUAACUACGUGCCAGCAGCCGCGGUAAUACGUAGGUGGCAAGCGUUGUCCGGAAUUAUUGGGCGUAAAGGGCUCGCAGGCGGUUUCUUAAGUCUGAUGUGAAAGCCCCCGGCUCAACCGGGGAGGGUCAUUGGAAACUGGGAAACUUGAGUGCAGAAGAGGAGAGUGGAAUUCCACGUGUAGCGGUGAAAUGCGUAGAGAUGUGGAGGAACACCAGUGGCGAAGGCGACUCUCUGGUCUGUAACUGACGCUGAGGAGCGAAAGCGUGGGGAGCGAACAGGAUUAGAUACCCUGGUAGUCCACGCCGUAAACGAUGAGUGCUAAGUGUUAGGGGGUUUCCGCCCCUUAGUGCUGCAGCUAACGCAUUAAGCACUCCGCCUGGGGAGUACGGUCGCAAGACUGAAACUCAAAGGAAUUGACGGGGGCCCGCACAAGCGGUGGAGCAUGUGGUUUAAUUCGAAGCAACGCGAAGAACCUUACCAGGUCUUGACAUCCUCUGACAACCCUAGAGAUAGGGCUUUCCCUUCGGGGACAGAGUGACAGGUGGUGCAUGGUUGUCGUCAGCUCGUGUCGUGAGAUGUUGGGGUUAGUCCCGCACGAGCGCAACCCUUGAUCUAGUGCCAGCAUUCAGUUGGGCACUCUAAGUGACUGCCGGUGACAACCGGAGAAGGUGGGGGAU